rnacentral:rRNA from 1 species
UUCCGUAGGUGAACCUGCGGAAGGAUCAUUAAUGAAACUUCAAAGUCGGCCAAAGGUUGUUGCUGGUGAUUAUUCACAUGUGCACACCUUUGGUCGCAAAUCCACACACACCUGUGCAUCUAUGACUCGAGGUUGUAAUGACUGAGAGUAACUUUUAUACACUCUUGUAUGUAAUGGAAUGUCUUUUUGUGCUAUAAUGUACAAUAUAAACAACUUUCAACAACGGAUCUCUUGGCUCUCGCAUCGAUGAAGAACGCAGCGAAAUGCGAUAAGUAAUGUGAAUUGCAGAAUUCAGUGAAUCAUCGAAUCUUUGAACGCACCUUGCACCCUUUGGUAUUCCGAAGGGUACGCCCGUUUGAGUGUCAUUGUAAUCUCACUUCUACAACUUUAUUGUUGUUUGAAUGUGGACUUGGAUGUUGCCGUUUUAUCACGGCUCGUCUUAAAUGCCUGAGUGUACCCUGUUUUGCAGCGUAUCCAGUGUAAUAAACAUUUCACUAGAGUUGGUUGAAAGACCACGUUGACUAUAUGGGCUCUAUGCUUCAAACCGUCUGCCAUGUGGACAAUUUCUUGACAAUUUGACCUCAAAUCGGGUGGGACUACCCGCUGAACUUAAGCAUAUCAAUAAGCGGAGGAAAAGAAACUAACAAGGAUUCCCCUAGUAACGGCGAGUGAAGAGGGAAAAGCUCAAAUUUUAAAUCUGGUGUCUUUGACUCCCGAGUUGUAAUCUAGAGAAGUGUUUUCCGUGUCGGACCGUGUACAAGUUCCCUGGAACGGGGCGUCAUAGAGGGUGAGAAUCCCGUAUAUGCCACGGACUACCGAUGCUCUGUGAUACACUCUCAACGAGUCGAGUUGUUUGGGAAUGCAGCUCAAAAUGGGUGGUAAAUUCCAUCUAAAGCUAAAUAUUGGCGAGAGACCGAUAGCGAACAAGUACCGUGAGGGAAAGAUGAAAAGCACUUUGGAAAGAGAGUGAAACAGUACGUGAAAUUGUUGAAAGGGAAGCGUUUGAAGUCAGUCGCAUCUGUUGGGGUUCAGCCUGGCUUUUGCCUGGUGUAUUUCCUUUCCGAUGGGUCAGCAUCAGUUUCGACCGAGGGAAAAAGACAUUUGGAAUGUGGCUGUCUUCGGGCAGUGUUAUAGCCUUGUGUUGUAUGUCUCGGUUGGGACUGAGGAUUGCAGCGCGCCAUAAAUGGCCGGGGGUCGCUCCUCUCGACACGCGCUUAGGAUGCUGGCAUAAUGGCUUUAAGCGACCCGU